UACAGAGGUCCCGAGCGUUGUUCGGAUUCAUUGGGCGUAAAGGGUGCGUAGGCGGUUUUCUAAGUUUGAUGUGAAAUCCCGGGGCUCAACCCUGGAAUUGCAUUGAAUACUGGGAGACUAGAGUACUGGAGAGGAAACUGGAAUUUACGGUGUAGCAGUGAAAUGCGUAGAGAUCGUAAGGAAGACCAGUGGCGAAGGCGAGUUUCUGGACAGUUCCUGACGCUGAGGCACGAAGGCGAGGGGAGCAAACGGG
rnacentral:rRNA from 1 species